rnacentral:lncRNA from 1 species
AUUGGCUCGAGGGAAACUUUAAUUUGUAUGUAACCAACCCUUGUGCAACCUGUUGAUGAAGAACCUAUUUUUGCCCACAGGACCACAAACAAUUCGUGAGACUUACGAGGAUUCCACCUCAAAAUACAUUCAAGCGACACACGAGUUGACUGCAGCAUAUCAGGAACAUACCGCGGCUCUCAAAGAACAGACUGAGGCCCUGAAGGCACACACAGAAGCUAUGUUGGGACUCAAAGAUUUCUUGCCAUCUAUGACUGAAGCUGUACAAACUGUCGGAGAAAAUUUACCCUCUGCAAUUUUACAACUUGCAUAUGCAAUGAAAGCAGGCAAUGCCUCAGGCCGUAAGGAUCGAGUACUGCAGGAAAUGAACAACAAUAUGGGAAAUUUUAUGUAAAUAUUUGUAUUACCUCAUUGAGAAAACCUUGGUUUUAAAGAAAGGUCCUCAUGAGGCAGCAUUUGAUAUCUGAAGAUGUUCUUCCACUUCUGUUAAAAUUUAUCGUAACUUUGCAGUCUAUUUUUAUCGGGGUGCAAUUAAGGAGCAAUAUUUUUAUGUUAGUCUGAUGUAAAGUCUGUAGAAAUGUUAAUGUGAUUUUUAUAGAGAGAUUAAUUUAGUAAUUUUUAUUCUGCUGUAUUUAAAUUGUAUCCUUGCUCUCUAGAAAAUGUUGUUAUUGUCUACUGAAGUUGCUAAAACUGUAUUCUCUUAUCGAGUGCCAGUUAUUCUGACUGAAAAUGUACAAACUGCAGCCGCUCAGAUGUUCCUGGGCUUUAAAGUGUUUAAUCCCGCACCAAAGUUUUGGUCAAACUGGUAUGUGAUUCAUCAAAUUGACUAUGUCAACUCAAACGGCGAACUUUUAUUUUCUCCCUUAAAACGACGGAAACCCCUCCAUGUUUGGUAAACAAGUAUUUCCAACAUUACAGAAUAGAAAAUUUGUCGAAAUAAUAGCCGCUGAACUCGGAGGAGCUUCAAGUAUUGCAAGUGAUGUGGUAUUGAAGGUUGCAUGGAUUGGAAAAGUUCCUUCCAACGUAAAUCCUUCCUUUAUUAUCUACUUUCUUUUCUGACAUGCAACUUUGUACGCUAACCAAGAUGGGGUUUCGUUCUUUGUUUCAUAAACUGAUGGGAAGUUUGUGGGGGAUAUUGUCCUUAUCUCCACUGUACAUGACAUGCCACAUUGGCCAUAACUGCGGAGCGGUAUGCAUCGCCUUUCCCUUUUUUUUUGACUGAUUAAUUAUUUAGAGUAAUUAGAAUUUUGCUACUACAGUAUUUGUACCCACUGGCUUCGACUUCCUCACCAUAUGAAUUACUUUCCUCAUUCGUAAUUCAUCAGAGUGUCAGAUUUUGUCUUAAUGUUUAUUGUUCUUCAUUACUAAGCAUUUAAGCUUUACACUUGAGUUUCUUAUAGUCUUUAAUUUUAAAACUUUCUCUGUUAAGUUUUGUAGCCUUUAUUUCGGUUGUUGCAGCUGUUAGUCUGGCUGUUGAGCUUUCACUGUAGAGGGACACCUGCCUCAUUUCAGCACUCUUUUCGUUACGAUUCUGAAGAACGUACAGUAAGUCAUUGUAAUUAAGAUCUGAAUAACUGGAAAUAUCCUUGUGCAACAAUUAACUUUUGUCCAAUGGACACACUUACCUUUCAUAUCUACUCCUUAGAUGUAUUUCAUUACUUUAUUUCAUUUAUACCCGGGUUUCUGAUUUCGAACCAACUAAACUGCUUACCUAUUGCGAGUAUUGUGAUCAUUUCGGGGCAUUUAACAUGUCAAGCCACCUUUCAUCCUAAAUGACAAUGCAUCCAAUGGCUUUUUUAUUUUAAAAUUGCUAGGAGGCAUUAAUAAAAAAUUCGUGAAUGACAGAACAUUGUUCUCUGUAUGUUGCACUACAUUUCUCAUCUCCAUAGUGGUUCUUCUCCUCUACAUUAACAUGUGUUCUUAUGAAAUUUAGGAAAUGUGAAAAGUGAAUACACUAGCUUCCAUCGUAUGCGAUUUAUUUCUUACUUGUUAGGUGAACCUCUAUUAUUACCUCCGUAUGAGCAUCUCUUAGUUCCGGUUUUUUCCAAGUUAAUUUUUUUAUUUUAGAAGUUUUUAAAUUUAUUUUCGUUUUUAAGUCAAUGUUUUUAUCGUGUAAUUCUUAACCAGCUAAGUUGCUAAUAUUUGGUUUCAGAUCAAACCUGUGCAAUGCUUCAUGACAUUUGUGCUUGCCUGCAUCAAUUUGAUUUUAACUUCUUAAUUAUUGCAGAAAUAACGUUUGCCACCUAAAAUUGAACUAUUUCCUAUCAUGUUGUUUUCUCAUUUUUCACUUAAGAUUAGAUUACCUGUAAGAAUUUGUGAGAUCUGAGAAUAAUAAUCUUUUUUGAGUAAAUUACGGUUCCACCCAAGUGAUCUACGUUAUUUUUUGGUCAGCAAUGAUUUAUCACUGGUGUCUAUACUUAUUCUCAAUUUCAGUUUCAAGUCAUUACAUUUUUUAAUUUUGUGUGCUAUUUGUGUUUACCUAUGUUACUUAUCACUAUUAUGUUACUACGCAAAUACAUGAGUUUUUUUGAUAG